rnacentral:rRNA from 1 species
AUGCUUAACACAUGCAAGUCGAACGAUGAACACCGGAGCUUGCUCUGGUGGGAUUAGUGGCGAACGGGUGAGUAACACGUGAGCAAUCUGCCCUUGACUCUGGGAUAAGCGUUGGAAACGAUGUCUAAUACCGGAUACGACCUCUCUUGGCAUCAAGCGGAGGUGGAAAGAUUUAUCGGUCAAGGAUGAGCUCGCGGCCUAUCAGCUAGUUGGUGAGGUAACGGCUCACCAAGGCGACGACGGGUAGCCGGCCUGAGAGGGUGACCGGCCACACUGGGACUGAGACACGGCCCAGACUCCUACGGGAGGCAGCAGUGGGGAAUAUUGCACAAUGGGCGCAAGCCUGAUGCAGCAACGCCGCGUGAGGGACGAAGGCCUUCGGGUUGUAAACCUCUUUUAGCAGGGAAGAAGCGCAAGUGACGGUACCUGCAGAAAAAGCACCGGCUAACUACGUGCCGGCAGCCGCGGUAAUACGUAGGGUGCAAGCGUUGUCCGGAAUUAUUGGGCGUAAAGAGCUCGUAGGCGGUUUGUCGCGUCUGCUGUGAAAAUCCGAGGCUCAACCUCGGACCUGCAGUGGGUACGGGCAAACUAGAGUGCGGUAGGGGAGAUUGGAAUUCCUGGUGUAGCG